rnacentral:rRNA from 1 species
UGGGGAAUAUUGGACAAUGGGCGCAAGCCUGAUCCAGCCAUACCGCGUGGGUGAAGAAGGCCUUCGGGUUGUAAAGCCCUUUUGUUGGGAAAGAAAUCCAGCUGGUUAAUACCCGGUUGGGAUGACGGUACCCAAAGAAUAAGCACCGGCUAACUUCGUGCCAGCAGCCGCGGUAAUACGAAGGGUGCAAGCGUUACUCGGAAUUACUGAGCGUAAAGCGUGCGUAGGUGGUCGUUUAAGUCUGUUGCGAAAGCCCUGGGCUCAACCUGGGAACUGCAGUGGAAACUGGACGACUAGAGUGUGGUAGAGGGUAGCGGAAUUCCUGGUGUAGCAGUGAAAUGCGUAGAGAUCAGGAGGAACAUCCAUGGCGAAGGCAGCUACCUGGACCAACACUGACACUGAGGCACGAAAGCGUGGGGAGCAAACAGGAUUAGAUACCCUGGUAGUCCACGCCCUAAACGAUGCGAACUGGAUGUUGGGUGCAAUUUGGCACGCAGUAUCGAAGCUAACGCGUUAAGUUCGCCGCCUGGGGAGUACGGUCGCAAGACUGAAACUCAAAUGAAUUGACGGGGGUCAUAGCGUG